rnacentral:rRNA from 1 species
UGAUGCAGCGACGCCGCGUGAGGGAUGACGGCCUUCGGGUUGUAAACCUCUUUCAGCAGGGAAGAAGCGAAAGUGACGGUACCUGCAGAAGAAGCGCCGGCUAACUACGUGCCAGCAGCCGCGGUAAUACGUAGGGCGCGAGCGUUGUCCGGAAUUAUUGGGCGUAAAGAGCUCGUAGGCGGCUUGUCACGUCGGUUGUGAAAGCCCGGGGCUUAACCCCGGGUCUGCAGUCGAUACGGGCAGGCUAGAGUGCGGUAGGGGAGAUCGGAAUUCCUGGUGUAGCGGUGAAAUGCGCAGAUAUCAGGAGGAACACCGGUGGCGAAGGCGGAUCUCUGGGCCAUUACUGACGCUGAGGAGCGAAAGCGUGGGGAGCGAACAGGAUUAGAUACCCUGGUAGUCCACGCCGUAAACGGUGGGAACUAGGUGUGGGCGACAUUCCACGUCGUCCGUGCCGCAGCUAACGCAUUAAGUUCCCCGCCUG